rnacentral:rRNA from 1 species
UGGGGAAUAUUGGACAAUGGGCGAAAGCCUGAUCCAGCCAUGCCGCGUGUGUGAAGAAGGUCUUCGGAUUGUAAAGCACUUUAAGUCGGGAGGAAGGGCAGCAAGCGAAUACCUUGCUGUUUUGACGUUACCGACAGAAUAAGCACCGGCUAACUCUGUGCCAGCAGCCGCGGUAAUACAGAGGGUGCAAGCGUUAAUCGGAAUUACUGGGCGUAAAGCGCUCGUAGGUGGUUCGUUAAGUUGAAUGUGAAAGCCCCGGGCUCAACCUGGGAACUGCAUCCAGAACUGGCGAGCUAGAGUAGGGCAGAGGGUGGUGGAAUUUCCUGUGUAGCGGUGCAAUGCGUUAAUAUAGGAAGGAACACCAGUUGCGAAGGCGACCACCUGGGCUCAAACUGACACUGAGGUGCGAAAGCGUGGGGAGCAAACAGG